GGCUCCAGCCUCAACCGCCAAAAUUCACUCAUAAUUUCUAUUAUCUGCAAUUACAGUAAACAAUUGGCCAUGGGUGCCUGUACAUGUUUUCUCCUCCCCAUUUCUUUGAAGCCUCCAAACCCAAACCCUACCUCUAACUUUUCAAAACACCAACACUUUCGCACUUCAAAAAUCACCUGCUCGUCUAUCACGUCCGAAUCACAAUUAGCCAAACAAGAACUCCUCAAUCUCAUUUCCGAUCAAGAACGAGGCCUCAAAACGCAAAAAGAUCCCGCCAAGCUUUCCGCCAUUAUCAAAGCUAUCGAUGCCAUGGCUGUUAUUGGUAGAGAUAUGGUCACCACCGAUAAUUCCCUCUCUGCCACGUGGCGCUUGCUCUGGACCACGGAGAAAGAACAACUAUUCAUUAUCGAGAAAGCCAACUUGUUUAGUACUCAAGCCGGUGACGUUUUGCAGGUGAUUGAUGUUGAAAAAGGGGUUCUCAAUAAUGUAAUUACUUUUCCACCCGAUGGAGUUUUCUUUGUAAGGUCGGAUAUCGAAAUCGCUUCCCCCAAAAGAGUGAAUUUCAGAUUUACCAGUGCAGUUUUACGCGGAAAAAGUUGGGAAAUUCCAUUGCCACCUUUUGGGAAAGGCUGGUUUGAGUCUGUGUACCUUGAUGAUGAAAUUCGAGUAGUGAAGGAUAUCAGGGGAGACUUUUUAGUUGUGGAUCGUGCUCCUUAUGCCUGGACAGAAUAGAUUUUCUGCGGGGUUAAUAACACGGACAUCCCCUGAGGUUUCGGUCAAGAUUUUUGGUUCGAAUCUGUUUACCUAGAUGAUGACAUUCGAAUUGCAAAGGACAUUCGUGGAGAUUAUUUAGUUGUCAAUCGUGCUCCAUACAACUGGAAAGAGUGAGCAGGAAGUGUCAGAAGGUGCCAUAGUUCCUGGAAUUAAACUGUAAAAUCUCCUUGGAACUUGGAGUCCUACUCAUCUAUAAGCAUAAUUGCUUACUUAAUUGUACAGUAAAUUGUUGUAUUCAAGGCUGUAUAGUUUGUAUAUCAAAUUAAACUCAAUGUAGAUAUGUGUGAUCGUAUGUUUUAUUCUUUGAACGAA